UACGUAGGGCGCAAGCGUUGUUCGGAAUUACUGGGCGUAAAGGGCUCGUAGGCGGCCAACUAAGUCAGACGUGAAAUCCCUCAGCUUAACUGGGGAACUGCGUCUGAUACUGGAUGGCUUGGAUUCGGGAGAGGAAUGCGGAAUUCCAGGUGUAGCGGUGAAAUGCGUAGAUAUCUGGAGGAACACCGGUGGCGAAGGCGGCAUUCUGGACCGACAUUGACGCUGAGGAGCGAAAGCCAGGGGAGCAAACGGG
rnacentral:rRNA from 1 species